rnacentral:rRNA from 1 species
GUCCAGCCGCCGCGGUAAUACCGGCAGCCCGAGUGAUGGCCGCUCUUCUUGGGCCUAAAGCGUCCGUAGCUGGCUGCGCAAGUCCGUCGGGAAAUCCACUCGCCCAACGAGUGGGCGUCCGACGGAAACUGCACAGCUUGGGACCGGAAGGCUCGAAGGGUACGUUCGGGGUAGGAGUGAAAUCCCAUAAUCCCGCACGGACCACCGAUGGCGAAAGCACUUCGAGAAAACGGAUCCGACAGUGAGGGACGAAAGCCAGGGUCUCCAACCGGAUUAGAAACCCUUGUGUCC